rnacentral:piRNA from 1 species
UACACUUAUCCCAUUUCUUCC